CAGGAAGUCACUGUAUUGUUUGAUGCGUGAGUGCUCACACUUGGCUUCCCUCGCUUGGCUGCACUGAGUGAAGAGGAAACAUUUUGGUCUGCAUAUGAAAUACAUGAUGCAGAUGAUGGCGUGUGGGUGCGGUGGGCACAAGAGGCAGUUACACUGUGCUGAGCCCACCCCUUGUCUGCUGCCUCCGCCUGGAGCCUGGUGCAGGCCAUUGAAUCCUGAUCCACAGGCCAUUUGUUUGGCCUUUUUUGUGUGUGCUGGGAAUCAAACUCAGGACCUCGUGCUUGCCAGACCACCCUGCUGUCUCAGAGGCCACCUGGGCAGACAAAUACCUCCACCCUCUGCUUUUCCAACAGCCACCCAACAGGCACCUAGACAUUUUUGUGGCCAGGAUGGCUACAACUUCCUUUGAAAAGCAGCCAGCUUUUGCCCUCCAUCAAAUAACUUUGUUUUAUUUAUAGUCUCCUGUUCAGAGCUUUUGAACUGGCUGCUCAUUCCAGGGAAGAUCUUGAUAACAACUGUUCCUUGGAGAGGGUUCAUAGGAAACAAGGUGAAUAAACACUACAGAGCCUCUGCCUGUCUAGCAGAGCUUUGCUC